rnacentral:tRNA from 1 species
GGGAAAAUAAGGUGGCUUAACAUAUUGAUUUUAAAACUUAUUCAACCUAACUCUUAAUCAAUAGGUCCAAGGUUCGAAUCCUUGACGGCCCACCA